CACUCCAGUUGGCCAUCGACUUUAAUGUGCCUCUCACCACCAUCUGACGGAUGCAACAUAAUCCAAACCACUUCAGACCUCUGCGACUGUGUUUUGCUACCAGAACAAUUUGCUUGGAAUAAAAGGGCACAGCCAAAGCAUGUGCACAAACACAGCUCUCCAGUGGCUGCUCCUUUAGUAACCAUUCCUUGGGGUAGGAGGGCCCACAGCUUUAAUUUUGUGUAGGUUGGUGUACUUCAAUAUUGUUCUUUCUGUUGUUCCAUAAGACAUGGCCAAAGGUCCAAGGACAUUUCUUUAAUUGCUUUAUUCCACAGUGGGCAAGGUAUUUACUGUUAAUUCUUUAUCCCAUUCAUGCUUCAUUACGCUCAGAUUAACUCUUUGGUGGGUCAUUAGGAAAUCACACAGCAAAGCAGACAAUCUGGGAAAAUGUUAAAGCACUAUGAAAUGGGAGAGAUUCUGACUGUGUUUCCUGGCUAAACACUGGAGUCAGGAGAGGAAGGGUUUGAAUGCUCAUUUAUUGGCAGCACUUCCUAAUGUGUAUUGCAGUUUGGCAGAUGUAAAUGCUAGGAUUUGUAAUCGCUGGAUAUAUAAAAACUGUAUCACAUUUCAUCUGUUUUUCUUCUCACAUACAUCCAUUCCCAGACCGAGGCCUGGGAUUCCCAUGAAUGGAAAAGUCUGGAUUUUGGGCUGGCAAAAUAAAUGGACUGAGAUGAGACAGCUUGGGAGAUACUGGAGAUUAGGCCAUCUGGGGACCACCUGUAUCCUACACCUAAAAAUGAGUUCCCAGGGAUCUGAGAUGCUGGAAAGCCCCGAAUUGGAUUUUAGGCUCAGUGCAGCAACACAGGCUCCAGCCAAAUUGCAUCGUCCACCCUUUGAUCCUCCUACUGCUAUGAGCACUUCCAGUGGAUAUUCAUCACAGCAGGGUAUGACCCCACACAACCCAGGAAUAGACAGAGUAACUCAUUUUGCUAGGGUCGGGGAGGAAGUCUGUGAGGGAGCCAAGAAUAGAGCCCUGCUCCCGGUCGCGUGCCUUCUCCCCUCUCCUAUUCUUCCUCCCGGCGAGCGGCAAGACAAAUAGCCGGACACAUCAAAUCCACUGAGAUCAGGAGCUGAGUCAAAGGUCAGUGCUUGGGCACAAAGAUGCUUCUAUCUACAAGGCACUAAUCUGGGCCGCCGCUGAGCAUCAAAGCUGGUUUCGCCAUACAGAUGAGGCCCGGGGCAGGGGGUCAUGGCAGCGCGAUGAUUAGCUGCUUUGGGGAAAAGAAACUUAGUGAGAUGGGAGCGUGCAGAGCUGAAUGGGUAGAAAUCGGCCAAGUUAGGUGUCCAUUCAUGGGGCAGAGUGUCCCACUGUCUAUCUUUCUGAGAAAAGUGACAAACAGCUCAAGUCUCCCUUCUAAUUCUGCCUCUUGGUGUAGCCUUGCACCACCUGAGCAAUGCAGGCAUCCUGCUGCCCAUCACCCAGGGGAAGCAUGCACCUCCACAACCUGAGCUUCCAUGCCUGGAGAUGUGUACAACAUAAUUCUCAUUAUUUUCAGGAGAGGGUUGGCGGGACUUUGCCAGGUUGCAGCCAUAUGGAGGAAUCCUUUGUUUCCUUGUCAGCUCCAGGACUGCGGCCUACCCUUGCCCUUCCUCUGUGCCUGGAGGCCUUUGUCACUGAGGAGAUGCAUGGGGUUGUUCUUCUGACCAGAGGAGGUUUUAGAGGGUCCCCAGUCAUUAGUAUAAUCAUUUUCGAUUUUGAUUAAUCAUCAGCCCAGUGUAGAGCUGACAGAGGGAGAGGAAGGGAGGGCAGAUAGAGGAAGGAAACAGGGUUAAAUCUACAGCAGCAAACUGCAAUAACUCUGUUGGCCUUGAGGUUUAACUUGGGGUCUUUCUCUGCAUCUCUUUAGUUAGUCCAUUCACUGAUGAAAUAUUUCUUGCUGGCCUUUAUGCAGCUUUUUCAUCUCUGUCAUAUGUUACCUCCACAGAGGGCAUUUUGAGGGUCUGUAGAGGCUAGAUUUACAGGCCAGAGCCAAAGGAUGGCCUAGAGCAGUGUGGCUUUUUGAGCCCCUCUGCACUGUUUGGAGCUCUUCAGUCACUGUAGAGAAAACAGAAUCACAGGAUGGUUAAGAUUGGGAUUUCUGGAGGCCCUGCUCAAGCAAGACCACCUACAGCAGGCUGCCCAGGCUGACAUCCAGGGGACUCUUAAAGAUCUUCAAGGAGGAGACACCAGAACCUCCAGGGAAUGCCCCGGAGCUUCAGAUCUUGCAUUCAGACUUUAGCAUUUGUUGCCUGCAUAGGCUUAGCUACCUUUAAACUGCUGAAGGCCCUUAAAACGUGCGUGUAAAAAUCUAUGACACCUUUUAUUCUUCCCCUGAUAACUAUCCUCACUGUGCAGGUUAGGAGAACAGGGAACCCUUCCAGAAACCUUCAUUCCUGCAGCCUCAACCUCUUCCCAGACCUAAUCCCAUAUCACAGCCCAUCGUUGUCUCAUUCUGCAUGAUGCUUUGAACUCCACAUUACAGGACAGAAUUUGGCAGGUCUGGCCAGAGGCUUCUGUAACCAGACAGUGACCACCUCUUAGGACAAGCCCUCCAUGGACUUGGCACCAGCACAGAGACACUUGAGCUUGUUUUCAGACGCAGUGAUGGAGGAACACAGCCCGGCUGGCCCAAGAACCAGCUGCACCGUCUAUGAAAGCUACAGGUGGAAACGUGUUGGAUUUAUGCUUGCAGACUGUGCGGGUAGUCGGUCAGUGUGGAAAGAGCCAAAUUACGAAAUGCUGCCCGUGAAUACAUUAUCCAGCACGCAGCCUCUUGUCCUGCAUCCAGCUGGACAGAAGCUGCCUGCAAAGUGCUCGGCUUUAGCUCACUCCCAAGUCUGGAUGUGCUGCCUGCUCCCAUGUGUUGGUUGCUAUUAGAAGGCCUGUUCUAGGAUGUCUGAGAGCUGUCAUUUAUUAUACAUAGGAAGCUAUAAGAUGAAAUCUAUAUUUGCAGCUUCAGUAAACGAUAAUUCACAGGGGCUUGCCUGGUGGAGCAGGGAGUUAAUGUUGUUAAAACGCGACUCUUCCUGCAAAAAGCAACCCUUUAAUGACUCAGAUGCAGCUUAUAUGACUACCACACCACUUGCCUCCUGUCCAAAGAUCCGGACUCUGCUAAAGGGAUUAACUUCUUAGUGAGCUCUCCCAGCGUGGUGGCCAAGCUCCGACCUCAUAAUGGACCAGUUAAAAGGUCAUCCUUACUUAUGGCUGCAGCUUCCUUACACGAGAGCUUCCACACUCCCAUCUGGCACUGCAGGGCACCGAAGGCAAAUAUUGGAAUUUUAAUGUGUUAUUAAUGCAGCAAUAAAUGAAUCUUUCUGAUGCCUGUCUGCUUUCCG
rnacentral:lncRNA from 1 species